rnacentral:rRNA from 1 species
GACGAACGCUGGCGGCGUGCUUAACACAUGCAAGUCGAACGCUGAAGACCUGGCUUUUGUUGGGUUGGAUGAGUGGCGAACGGGUGAGUAACACGUGAGUAACCUGCUCUCUUUUUUGGGAUAAUGCCCGGAAACGGGUGCUAAUACUGGAUAUUCACUGAUCUUCGCAUGGGGGUUGGAGGAUAGGUUCGUUCUGGUGGGGGAUGGGCUCACGGCCUAUCAGCUGGUGGGUGGGGUGAUGGCCUACCAAGGCUGUGACGGGUAUCCGGCCUGGGAGGGGGACCGGUGACGUUGGGACGGGUCUACGGCCCAGAGGCCUGCGGGAGGCAGCAAUGGGGGACAUUGGACAAUAGGCGAAAGCCUGAUGCCGCGGCGCCGCGUGAGGGAUGGAGGCCUUCGGGGUGUAAUCCUCUGUCGCUCAUGGUCAAGGCGCAACUGUGGGUUGUUGUGAGGGUAGUGGGUAAAGAAGCGCCGGCUAACUACGUG